UACGGAGGAUCCAAGCGUUAUCCGGAUUUAUUGGGUUUAAAGGGUGCGUAGGCGGAUUGAUAAGUUAGAGGUGAAAUGUCCGAGCUUAACUCGGGAACUGCCUCUAAUACUGUUGAUCUAGAGAGUAGAUGCGGUAGGCGGAAUGUAUGGUGUAGCGGUGAAAUGCUUAGAGAUCAUACAGAACACCGAUUGCGAAGGCAGCUUACCAAUCUAUAUCUGACGUUGAGGCACGAAAGCGUGGGGAGCAAACAGG
rnacentral:rRNA from 2 species